AUGGAAGAUUUAUUUGAAAGGUACUCUACUGUGUUAUUGAAAAAGCACCACUAUUGGGAAAAGCUCCGUUCAAAUAUCUAUCCAAGUUUCUUGAAUAGUUUGAAAUGUUUUCUAAGGGUACGUAAUCGUCCUAUUAAAGGAGAUUCUCCGGAGGAGCCCAAUCCUACCUUGAAAUGGAUAAAUGUGAUUUCCCCUGGUGGCAGAUCACAUGUAGAAGAACUAUGUGAUCAGAGGUCUACUUCUCAGAAGAAGACAGAUAAGAACAGACUCCAGGACUUCAUUACCAGACUUCAGUUCAGGUAUGGCAGAGAGAAAUCUCACACCCUACUCCCACCCCAUGCUGCUGUUUGGGGGUUUUGCUGUCAGAUCUCAAGUCCAUUAGUGUGUGGUCUGAUGCCCAGGACUGGGAUGAGGCAUACCUGGAGGGCUAAGCUUAAGGGGGCAGGCUCAGAGCAGACACCCCUCACCCCCAAACCUGCAGGGGCUUAAGAAUGUCAAGAAUAUGACCCAUGAGGUGAACUGCAAGAUUAAGCAGAGGAGCAUCAACAGCCAUCAUUCGAACCAAGUCAUUUAUAGUUCUCCUCUACAACACACCUGCUACUCCAGAUGAACUUCUGCUGCUCCGUGAAGUACCCUAAUUUGCAUGGACUUUCAGUGACCUAUCU
rnacentral:lncRNA from 12 species